rnacentral:rRNA from 1 species
GGAAUUUUGGACAAUGGGCGAAAGCCUGAUCCAGCAAUGCCGCGUGAGUGAAGAAGGCCUUCGGGUUGUAAAGCUCUUUUGUCAGGGAAGAAACGGUGAAAGCUAAUAUCUUUUGCUAAUGACGGUACCUGAAGAAUAAGCACCGGCUAACUACGUGCCAGCAGCCGCGGUAAUACGUAGGGUGCAAGCGUUAAUCGGAAUUACUGGGCGUAAAGCGUGCGCAGGCGGUUUUGUAAGUCUGAUGUGAAAUCCCCGGGCUCAACCUGGGAAUUGCAUUGGAGACUGCAAGGCUAGAAUCUGGCAGAGGGGGGUAGAAUUCCACGUGUAGCAGUGAAAUGCGUAGAUAUGUGGAGGAACACCGAUGGCGAAGGCAGCCCCCUGGGUCAAGAUUGACGCUCAUGCACGAAAGCGUGGGGAGCAAACAGGAUUAGAUACCCUGG